GAUGAAGAACGCAGCGAAACGCGAUAGUUAAUGUGAAUUGCAGAAUUCAGUGAAUCAUCGAGUCUUUGAACGCACAUUGCGCCCAUUGGUAUUCCGUUGGGCAUGUCUGUUUGAGCGUCAUUACAACAGUUCAGCGUAAGCUGGUUAUGAGUUCUGUUUUUUUAAACAAAAAACAGGCUUUAAAAUGUAUGUUCUGCAGGUCGCUUUGCUAAACCCUAAACAUUAAAUACUGAUCUAGUGAAGCAUUUGCGACUCUGCCUGAAAAAAAACUUUUGUUAAAGUUUGACCUCAGAUCAGACAAGGAUACCCGCUGAACUUAAGCAUAUCAAUAAGCGGAGGA
rnacentral:misc_RNA from 1 species